AAUUAAAAAAUUGAUACUGAAGGAUCCACCAAAUAAAAAAUAUUGCUUGAAUCUAUUGACAGGAUCAGCAGAAUCCUUGAAGGGAAUCAACCCAGAGCAGACGCCGAGGACGUUGUGCGUACCAGAGGCGCAGCUUUGUUUGGCUCCUGUGCAUAUACUUUGCUCUUCAACCGUUUAAUGAAAAAUCUCAAACACACAGAAGAAGGAACGGUACCACGAACACCUACACGCCCACCACCUACGUUCUGCUGUCCACGUUUGAUGCACCUGCUUCAUCUUACAUUUUUUUAAAGAUUUUAUUUAUUUAUUUGACAGAGAGAGACAGCCAGUGAAAGAGGGAACACAAGCAGGGGGAGUGGGAAAGGAAGAAGCAGGCUCGCAGUGGAGUAGGGAGCCCGAUGCGGGGUUUGAUCCCAGACCCUGGGAUCACCCCU
rnacentral:lncRNA from 1 species